AUUGAACGCUGGCGGCAGGCCUAACACAUGCAAGUCGAGCGGAUGAAGGGAGCUUGCUCCUGGAUUCAGCGGCGGACGGGUGAGUAAUGCCUAGGAAUCUGCCUGGUAGUGGGGGAUAACGUCCGGAAACGGGCGCUAAUAACGCAUACGUCCUGAGGGAGAAAGUGGGGGAUCUUCGGACCUCACGCUCUCAGAUGAGCCUAGGUCGGAUUAGCUAGUUGGUGGGGUAAAGGCCGACCAAGGCGACGAUCCGUAACUGGUCUGAGAGGAUGAUCCGUCACACUGGAACUGAGACACGGUCCAGACGACUACGGGAGGCAGCAGUGGGGAAUAUUGGACAAUGGGCGAAAGCCUGAUCCAGCCAUGCCGCGUGUGUGGAGAAGGUCUUCGGAUUGUAAAGCACUUUAAGGUGGGAGGAAGGGCAGUAAGUUAAUACCUUGCUGUUUUGACGUUACCGACAGAAUAAGCACCGGCUAACUUCGUG
rnacentral:rRNA from 1 species